rnacentral:rRNA from 1 species
GGCGGCAUGCCUAACACAUGCAAGUCGAACGAGAUCCUUCGGGGUCUAGUGGCGCACGGGUGCGUAACGCGUGGGAAUCUGCCCCUUGGUUCGGAAUAACAGCGAGAAAUUGCUGCUAAUACCGGAUGAUGGCUUCGGCCCAAAGAUUUAUCGCCGAGGGAUGAGCCCGCGUAGGAUUAGCUAGUUGGUGUGGUAAAGGCGCACCAAGGCGACGAUCCUUAGCUGGUCUGAGAGGAUGAUCAGCCACACUGGGACUGAGACACGGCCCAGACUCCUACGGGAGGCAGCAGUGGGGAAUAUUGGACAAUGGGCGCAAGCCUGAUCCAGCAAUGCCGCGUGAGUGAUGAAGGCCUUAGGGUUGUAAAGCUCUUUUACCCGGGAUGAUAAUGACAGUACCGGGAGAAUAAGCUCCGGCUAACUCCGUGCCAGCAGCCGCGGUAAUACGGAGGGAGCUAGCGUUAUUCGGAAUUACUGGGCGUAAAGCGCACGUAGGCGGCUUUGUAAGU